AUGAAAAAAUUAGGCUUCGUGGCUCCGGUAGGUAAAUAACGUAUUGAGUAAUCAAUUUGUUCAAACUAUUUAACAUUUGUUUUAUUUUAGGUAAAUUAAACUUUUGACCUUGCUGGGUGGACGAAGGAGUUGCAAAGACGUGUGAUGACCCAACAGGAUUUCAGCUGGCGAUUCCUCACCAGAUGCGCCGUUGCUGCGGUUUAGCGCGUCUAAGUGAAGCGGGUUCACGGAACUGACCAUGAAUCGUCCGGAAGUUUCCCCAGAAUUGCACAAGGAUCUGUAUAACCCGAGAGUUCCACGGCAUAAAAAAGGCGCGUAAAUUUGUGCGCAUGAAGCAAUCAUGAUUGUGUCAUGUAAAACUAGCAAUUAAAAUUUCUCAGUAUUAAUUUC